UACGAAGGGGGCUAGCGUUGCUCGGAAUCACUGGGCGUAAAGGGUGCGUAGGCGGGUCUUUAAGUCAGGGGUGAAAUCCUGGAGCUCAACUCCAGAACUGCCUUUGAUACUGAGGAUCUUGAGUACGGGAGAGGUGAGUGGAACUGCGAGUGUAGAGGUGAAAUUCGUAGAUAUUCGCAAGAACACCAGUGGCGAAGGCGGCUCACUGGCCCGUAACUGACGCUGAGGCACGAAAGCGUGGGGAUCGAACAGG
rnacentral:rRNA from 1 species